rnacentral:lncRNA from 1 species
GACAAAUAUGCUACAAACGGUUUAAAAAGGUUACUCCAAAUCAAAUAAUUGAAAUAUAAUUACCUUUCUGUGUAUAAAUGUGUGAAUUGAUUUCCUCUCGAUUUUCUACACGCUCGCUCUUGCCCUCUUGCGCACUCGUGGUAUUCAUCCGCAACAACAAUUUUUCGACACGUGAUUGAUAUUGAAGAUCGUUUGAUUAAUAUACAAAUAUUUCUAACGACAAAACAUUUUCAUAUUAUAAAUUUUGCAUUAAGAAAAAUUAAAAAAAACUGAGUAUCCAUUGAAAACAUGAAUUUAAAAGAAGCGAUACGGAAUUUUAUUCUGCACUAUAUAGGUCCGCGGGUCUAUAAUGUCGGUUAUUAUUCCAAAACUAAUUAUAUAUGCAUCUCUUUGAUCUUUGAAAAGUAGGCGAUGGCAAUACACCCGAGGCCCCUCAGGGGCCUCUGAUGUAAAAAAAAGAUG